AGUGAACGCUGGCGGUAGGCCUAACACAUGCAAGUCGAACGGCAGCACAGUAAGAGCUUGCUCUUACGGGUGGCGAGUGGCGGACGGGUGAGGAAUACAUCGUAAUCUACUUUUUCGUGGGGGAUAACGUAGGGAAACUUACGCUAAUACCGCAUACGACCUACGGGUGAAAGCAGUGGAUCUUCGGACCUUGCGCGAUUGAAUGAGCCGAUGUCGGAUUAGCUAGUUGGCGGGGUAAAGGCCCACCAAGGCGACGAUCCGUAGCUGGUCUGAGAGGAUGAUCAGCCACACUGGAACUGAGACACGGUCCAGACUCCUACGGGAGGCAGCAGUGGGGAAUAGUGGACAAUGGGCGCAAGCCUGAUCCAGCCAUACCGCGUGGGUGAAGAAGGCCUUCGGGUUGUAAAGCCCUUUUGUUGGGAAAGAAAAGCAGCAGGUUAAUACCCCGCUGUUCUGACGGUACCCAAAGAAUAAGCACCGGCUAACUUCGUG
rnacentral:rRNA from 1 species